UGGGGAAUUUUGGACAAUGGGCGCAAGCCUGAUCCAGCAAUGCCGCGUGCAGGAUGAAGGCCUUCGGGUUGUAAACUGCUUUUGUACGGAACGAAAAGCUUCUGGUUAAUACCUGGGAGUCAUGACGGUACCGUAAGAAUAAGCACCGGCUAACUACGUGCCAGCAGCCGCGGUAAUACGUAGGGUGCAAGCGUUAAUCGGAAUUACUGGGCGUAAAGCGUGCGCAGGCGGUGAUGUAAGACAGGUGUGAAAUCCCCGGGCUUAACCUGGGAAUUGCAUUUGUGACUGCAUCGCUGGAGUGCGGCAGAGGGGGAUGGAAUUCCGCGUGUAGCAGUGAAAUGCGUAGAUAUGCGGAGGAACACCGAUGGCGAAGGCAAUCCCCCGGGCCUGUACUGACGCUCAUGCACGAAAGCGUGGGGAGCAAACA
rnacentral:rRNA from 1 species